rnacentral:rRNA from 1 species
GAUGAACGCUGGCGGCGUGCCUAAUACAUGCAAGUCGAGCGAACAGAUAAGGAGCUUGCUCCUUUGACGUUAGCGGCGGACGGGUGAGUAACACGUGGGUAACCUACCUAUAAGACUGGGAUAACUUCGGGAAACCGGAGCUAAUACCGGAUAAUAUUUCGAACCGCAUGGUUCGAUAGUGAAAGAUGGUUUUGCUAUCACUUAUAGAUGGACCCGCGCCGUAUUAGCUAGUUGGUAAGGUAACGGCUUACCAAGGCGACGAUACGUAGCCGACCUGAGAGGGGGAUCGGCAACACGGAAACUAGGACCCGUCCCAGGCCCCUACGGGAGGCAGAAGUAGGGAAUUUUCCGGAAUGGGGGAAAGCCGGACGGGGCAACGCCGGGGGAGUGAUGAAGGGUUUGGGAUGGUAAAACCUUUUUAUUGGGGAAAAACAAACGUGAAAGUAACGGUGCACGUUUUGAGGGUACCUAAGCAAAAAGCCACGGCUAAUUACGU